GAUGAAGAACGCAGCGAAAUGCGAUAAGUAAUGUGAAUUGCAGAUUUCAGUGAAUCAUCGAAUCUUUGAACGCACAUUGCGCCCGCCAGUAUUCUGGCGGGCAUGCCUGUUCGAGCGUCAUUUCAACCAUCAAGCCUUCGCUUGUGUUGGGGCCCCGCGGCUGCCGCGGCCCCCUAAAUCCAGUGGCGGGCUCGUCGUCGUACCGAGCGCAGUAGACAUCCUCGCUCCGGGAACCCGACGGGUGCCGGCCGUGAAACCCCCCCCAUCAAGGUUGACCUCGGAUCAGGUAGGAAUACCCGCUGAACUUAAGCAUAUCAAUAAGCGGAGGA
rnacentral:misc_RNA from 1 species